rnacentral:hammerhead_ribozyme from 1 species
GCAUUUAUGAGGAGUCCCAUACUAGGACGAAACGGCCGUCCAGUAU